rnacentral:lncRNA from 1 species
GGUCCAGGCUGCUGAAGCUGAACAGAACACCGUCAUGGCCCCGGCAGCGGCGAUGCAAUCCGAAGAUGAUGAUGACUGGCUUUUGAGUUUUGACAGAGGUGCGUAAGCAUUAUGAUGAGUUAACCUCCCAUUGUCUAAUCAAUCAGUCUCAUCAUUACCCGCCUGAUUUCUUCUUGUCUUCAGUUCCUUCAGGCUAAACUUAACUGUCAACUACUAAGCUGUCAGCCUAGUCAAGUAGGAGUAGUGACCUCAAAAAGGGGAAAUGUUGACAUCUGAGAACAUGAACUACCUUAAAAUGUUGUUCUGUUUAAAAAGUAAUCAUUGUGACAAGAUGCAACUAAUACACCAUGAUGACAAAAUUGGACAUGUCAUGCUGACUGCAGCCAGAUUCAUCAUUCAAGGACUUCCAUUUCUGUGAGCAGACAAGCAUGCCACAUAUUUAAGCUAUGCCUCAUUACUCAGCCCAUUAGCAAGUGUUAAGUAUUAUUACUGUUUCAAAUUUAUUAUUGAUAAGAAACAAUUCCUCUGCACUUGGCUAACUACACUCAUCUGAUGCCUCAGGUAACACCAUAAAAGGCUCAAAAGUAAAUAUGAGUCCAAUGAGCUCCACAAAGUUCAGCAUCAAGAACACCACUUGAUCACCUACAGGUUUCAAGAAAGCCAAACUGGAUCAGCCUUUCCUUUUUCUUUUUCCUGAUUACAUGUUCUUUUAGUACAAUUAGUCCAGGCAAACCCCUUGUUAACGAAAUAAGAUAGGACAAGGGUAUGUAAUGUAUGGUCGACUGAAAGAUAUGGUAGUUUACUAGGCCAAACAAAUUGAAAGACAAGGGAGGGAAGGGGUGUUCUUUCGGCCAACCUGGCUAAUUAAAAGACGAGGCAAGAUAUAGGCGUAUAGCGCAGUGCAGUUCAGAUAAAUAGCUCACCUGGAAAGAAGAGGGCAUCCUGACGUUUUUGCGCCCACGAGAAUCUGAAUUGAAAAUUGAGUAUUGAUCACUAAAAUCUAAAUCAUUUAUCUCAAUCAUUUAAGAAACAUUAUGUCUCGAUCAUUAAUUGUAUUUAUGAGAAAAGUGUUAAGAGGUGGUACUCACAGAACACCUGCCCCUACUGGAGCAAUCGCCUUGAAAAAUGACAUAGCUGUUGUUGAUACACCAUUUGCAGUGCCUCUAUGUUCUUGAAGCUGAUAUUGAAUUUCAAAGUCAAUAAAUAAUUUAGCUUAUUUACGUGAACACAGUAUCAGAACACAUGCAUUCACUUGAUUUUUAUGCAUACCACAGCAUUGUUCUGUAAAAGGCAAAUUCCUGUGCUUAUAGUAAUCUGCACACGUUGUACAAAACAAACAUUAGAGAUAAAGACUUGGAUAUUAAUGGAAGUAUAAUAAAGCCCCUAUUUUAGUUGUUACUCUUAAAUCCCUGAAAAUAGUACUCUAUGAAAUAACCCAGGCUUGUCUUCCCCAAGUAGUUACAGUUGAAUUUGUCAUAUUGUAGACUGAGUUAGAUUUUCAUAAUCUGCAUUCUGCAGUGCAACACAUCUUCUUUUUUGUACAUUAUUACUUUUGAAAUAUUACUGCUGUACCUAUUAGCUAACAAAUGGUGUGGUUGGAUACACGUGUAGAUACUUAAAAUUUGAAGGAAGAGCUUUGAAAUUGCUUACUGCAAGAGCACUUUUCAUCAUUGCCGCUGAAUAAAAAGCUAAGGAAAGUUCCGCGCCAGAUAGGUAUGUCAUAAAAGGAUAAGUAGAAAGAAUAAGUAUAGAUAGAGCCUGCAAUUUCAGUUAAAUAUGAGUGAUGACCAUGAAAUGAUUAUUUAUAUUUCUUUUGAAGUCGUGAUAGGAGACUACUCACAGAAGCAAUUCGUAAUGAAAUGAUUGGUCCAAGAAACUUAUGAACCCAGUGGUAAAUAAUAAGCUGAUAUGCUAGAAGACUAGCACCUGAAACGAAGAGACAUGAAGUACAAUUAUUUAACAACAAAUUUAUGCAGCUAUGUGAGAACAUGAAUCUUUAAAGUCUGAUGAAUAGUUCAGAAUAUAUAUAUAAAUUAUGUAUGUUGGGGGAAAGAUGGCAAUAUACCUGCAACAGCAAGAACCUGACCAAUAUCCUCAGAUGAAAAGCUAAGGCCACCAUAUUUUCUAUCACUCACAGCCCACAAGGAUAAUAUCUAGCAUAAAUAUGCUAAUGGUAUUAAUCUUUUUAGAACCCCUUAAGUUAUGUGAAUAUCAAAGCUGUGUGUGAAUAGUUUAGCAAGUAUGUAGAUAAUAAUUUUUGAAGCAUGAGAAAUAAACUGAGUGGCAUCUAGAUAGAUUAACGUGACCUUCUGACUGGUAACAAGCAAAGGCGUAGAAAACAUGGUUCUUUACCUCACUGUAUGCUGUGUCAUGAAGACCAAAAAAACAAUAUGAAAUCAUAGUAGACAUCCAUGGCCGAUUCUGGAACAAGCUCUUCUUACGAGGUGAAUCCCAAUAAGCCUGCUGUAAUGGCAAUUCUUUGAUUCUUUUGAUGUCCUUAUCAGGAGAUUUAUGUUUAUGUAUAGUCUCCUGCCAGAUACAUUUUUCAAACAAAACCACAUUAAUAGUAACACUAGAAAAACAGUUCUAAAAAAAUUAAUCCAAUAUUUUUUUUGUUUUGUGAAAUUAACUAGACCAUAGAAAAGGGCUAAGUAACGAGCAUUUAGUGCUAGAAUUCGCUUAAGAAUUAUUGGGGAAAUGGCAUCUAAGUGAAACUUUACGUACCGGAAGCCAAAUACAACUUAUCAGAACAAUAGCAGCAAACAAUGAUACACCAAGGCAAGGUAAGAGAUACGGGAAUCUGCAAAAUGUAAUGAAAUUAGAUAUGGGUAUUUAGUAGUUACAACACUGACUGCAAGCAAUCUGGGCUUAUAUCUUGCUCUUGUAUCAGUGUAUGACAUACCUCCCAAAAACUGACUCCUUAGAAAAUACAUGUGGAUAUUUUUCAACAGGCUGAGAAGGAAGCAGAACGAUGUAAGAAACCGAAUAUUAGCUUCUUUUCUUCUUUUUCCAUUUUGAAAUUAGUACCUGUGCAAGGUAGCCUCCAAGAGCUGGACCAACAACGAGACCCAAACCCCAUGCUGUGUUAACCUAUGAUCAAAGUAAAUCAUAACAGCUUUAUAGCAGUGCAUAUUGAAAGGAUUGUGGAACACAAUGGGGGCAAACAAGAGAAUUGCUUGGCAUUACAAUGGAGAGUCCAAGAGCUUGAUGUUCAGUUUGGCAAACUUCAAUAGAAUAAGCCUGUAAUGCUUGAUAAAUACUAUGUUAGGAAAGCUCCCUCCUAGGCACAUGAAUAAUUUCAUACAACUUCAUGCUGAAAUUGUCACUUGAAAGACUUUUAGUUACCUUUAUUGGCGCAAGUAAACCAUUUAGAGCACCUAGAACAAACCUUGUAGUAAGUGCCAUCCAAUACUUUGUACUUAGCCCAAAUAAUGUGUUAAAUAUGACCCUACAGUACACACAUGGAAAUCUAAGUACUACCCUAAAAUGACUGAUAGAAAUGCUGUUGUAGCUGGACUGAAUUGACUUACACAGACAAUAUUGAAAACACAAUGACAGGUUUCCUUCCUAUACGAUCUGCCACAACUCCCCAAAAUAUCGCGGCAAAGGAUCUACCAACCAUGUACGAAGCACCUUCAUUUCAAAACAUCAAUGGAUAGGUGUACCGGCGUACACACGUUUAAAUUACAUUUCUCACUGGUCACCGUAGCCAUUUUUAUAAAUAUUUUGAAUUGGUUUGGAAAAAAAAUUACCAAGAAAUCCAGCAUAAUACCCAAUGUCCUCCUCUGUUUGUGCUACUUGCAGGUCCCUUACCUAUGAAAACAGAGAUGAUUGAAUAAGCCAGAGUAUUCAAUAUGCGAAAAGGGGAUCACUGAGAUGCAACUUGAAUGAACCAGUAGAGAUCUUGAUAAAGAGAACUACGGGGCAGGCACUCCCGUUAUAUAUGCUACAUAGAUCUGAAGAUGAUGGUUUGACGUACAAACUGAAAUCGUGUCAGAAAUUCAAGGAAGGCUAUGAGUUUUUCUUUUAGACAAAGGACCAAUGAGUCCAGCUAUACAAAGCAAAACGGUGAAGGCUACAGUUGGAAUAUCUCAUGAGAUCCAAGUUGCAACCAAGUGGUAAGGUAUAAUGGUUAGGGAGAAAUGUGUGAACUGGGACAUGCAUUCGAAAUGAUCCAGGGUUCAGAGAUUAAUUAGGAAUGAUGCAAAGCAGUGUCCUUCAAGUUAGGUAAACGUCUUUGUGCGACGCAGGUGAUACUGUAGCUCAAGACGCAUGAUGAAAUAAUUAGAUGGAGAAGUGAAUACAUACUUACCAUGAAGUAGAGGAAGGGGAAGAGGCACGUGAUUGGUAAAGCUGCAAUAUUUAAAGGACAGAGGAAGCAAUAAAUCAGAAACGAGAUGUGCAGCUUGCAGCAUGAAGGGAACAAACACAAGAAUCCUGUUAUUCACGACAAGAAAGCAUGUGCUUGCUCCUGCUGCUGUUUGUG